GACGAACGCUGGCGGCGUGCUUAACACAUGCAAGUCGAACGGAAAGGCCCUGCUUUUGUGGGGUGCUCGAGUGGCGAACGGGUGAGUAACACGUGAGUAACCUGCCCUUGACUUUGGGAUAACUUCAGGAAACUGGGGCUAAUACCGGAUAGGAGCUCCUGCUGCAUGGUGGGGGUUGGAAAGUUUCGGCGGUUGGGGAUGGACUCGCGGUUUAUCAGCUUGUUGGUGGGGUAGUGGCUUACCAAGGCUGUGACGGGUAGCCGGCCUGAGAGGGUGACCGGCCACAUUGGGACUGAGAUACGGCCCAGACUCCUACGGGAGGCAGCAGUGGGGAAUAUUGCACAAUGGGCGGAAGCCUGAUGCAGCAACGCCGCGUGCGGGAUGACGGCCUUCGGGUUGUAAACCGCUUUCGCCUGUGACGAAGCGUGAGUGACGGUAAUGGGUAAAGAAGCACCGGCUAACUACGUG
rnacentral:rRNA from 1 species